rnacentral:rRNA from 1 species
CUAGUUGGUGGAGUAAUAGCCUACCAAGGCAAUGAUCUAUAGCUGAUCUGAGAGGAUGAUCAGCCACACUGGAACUGAGAUACGGUCCAGACUCCUACGGGAGGCAGCAGUGGGGAAUAUUGGACAAUGGGCGAAAGCCUGAUCCAGCCAUGCCGCAUGAGUGAAGAAGGCCUUUGGGUUGUAAAGCUCUUUUAGUGAGGAAGAUAAUGACGGUACUCACAGAAGAAGUCCUGGCUAACUCCGUGCCAGCAGCCGCGGUAAUACGGAGAGGGCUAGCGUUAUUCGGAAUUAUUGGGCGUAAAGGGCGCGUAGGCUGAUUAAUAAGUUAAAAGUGAAAUCCCGAGGCUUAACCUUGGAAUUGCUUUUAAAACUAUUAAUCUAGAGAUUGAAAGAGGAUAGAGGAAUUCCUGAUGUAGAGGUAAAAUUCGUAAAUAUUAGGAGGAACACCAGUGGCGAAGGCGUCUAUCUGGUUCAAAUCUGACGCUGAAGCGCGAAGGCGUGGGGAGCAAACAGGAUUAGAUACCCUGGUAGUCCACGCUGUAAACGAUGAAUGUUAAAUAUGGGAAGUUUCCUUUCUG